rnacentral:rRNA from 1 species
UUUUAGAGUUUUGAUCAUGGCUCAGGACGAACGCUGGCUGCGUGCUUAACACAUGCAAGUCGAACGCUGAAGCCGACAGCUUGCUGUUGGUGGAUGAGUGGCGAACGGGUGAGUAACACGUGAGUAACCUGCCCCUGAUUUCGGGAUAAGCCUGGGAAACCGGGUCUAAUACCGGAUACGACCACCGAACGCAUGUUCGGUGGUGGAAAGUUUUUCGAUCGGGGAUGGGCUCGCGGCCUAUCAGCUUGUUGGUGGGGUAAUGGCCUACCAAGGCGACGACGGGUAGCCGGCCUGAGAGGGCGACCGGCCACACUGGGACUGAGACACGGCCCAGACUCCUACGGGAGGCAGCAGUGGGGAAUAUUGCACAAUGGGGGAAACCCUGAUGCAGCGACGCAGCGUGCGGGAUGACGGCCUUCGGGUUGUAAACCGCUUUCAGCAGGGAAGAAGCGAAAGUGACGGUACCUGCAGAAGAAGUACCGGCUAACUACGUGCCAGCAGCCGCGGUAAUACGUAGGGUACGAGCGUUGUCCGGAAUUAUUGGGCGUAAAGAGCUCGUAGGUGGUUGGUCACGUCUGCUGUGGAAACGCAACGCUUAACGUUGCGCGUGCAGUGGGUACGGGCUGACUAGAGUGCAGUAGGGGAGUCUGGAAUUCCUGGUGUAGCGGUGAAAUGCGCAGAUAUCAGGAGGAACACCGGUGGCGAAGGCGGGACUCUGGGCUGUAACUGACACUGAGGAGCGAAAGCAUGGGGAGCGAACAGGAUUAGAUACCCUGGUAGUCCAUGCCGUAAACGUUGGGCACUAGGUGUGGGGGACAUUCCACGUUCUCCGCGCCGUAGCUAACGCAUUAAGUGCCCCGCUGGGGGAGUACGGAAA